GAUGAACGCUGGCGGCGUACUUAAUACAUGCAAGUCGAGCGAACAAACGAGGAUCUUUCUCCUCUGCCGUUACCGACGGAUGGGUGAGUAACACGCGGCUUACCUAUCUCUCUGACUUGGAUACCUUAGGGAACCCGGAGUUCAUACCGGAUACUAUAUUCAAACGCAUGGUUCAUUAGUGAAAGAUGCUUUUGCUGUCACUUAUACAUCGAUCCGCCCGGCAUUUGCUAGUUUGUAUGGUAACGGCUUACCAAGGCGACGAUGCGUAGCCGACCAGAGAGGGUGGUCGGCCACACUGGAGCUGAGACAGGGUCCAGACGCCUACGGGAGGCAGCAGUAGGGAAUCGGCCGCAAUAGGCGGAAACCUGACAGAGCAACGCAGAGUGAGUGAUGAAGGUGUUGGGAUCGGAAUACUCUGUUAUGAGGGAAGAACAAAUGUGUAAGUAACAAUACACGUCGUGACGGUACCUGAUCAGAAAGCCACGGCUAACUACGUG
rnacentral:rRNA from 1 species